rnacentral:rRNA from 1 species
UACGUAGGGGGCUAGCGUUGUCCGGAAUCAUUGGGCGUAAAGCGCGUGUAGGCGGUCCGGUAAGUCCGCUGUGAAAGUCGGGGGCUCAACCCUCGGAUGCCGGUGGAUACUGUCGGGCUUGAGUACGGAAGAGGCGAGUGGAAUUCCUGGUGUAGCGGUGAAAUGCGCAGAUAUCAGGAGGAGCACCAAUUGCGAAGGCAGCUCGCUGGGACGUUACUGACGCUGAGGCGCGAAAGCGUGGGGAGCAAACAGG